UGAACUCAUUGGCUGCAACAGACCAAACUUCGGGCAAUUUACUAAAUGUAGAGGUUGACUCAGGAUCCACUCCUAGGGAUAGACCUGAGGCUGAGGGACCUCAGUCGAAGGUUCCGAAGAAUCAAUAGGUAGUUUUUUGCUGAGAUUCAUUUAUGUGUGAUCUUUUACAUAUAUAUUUAUGUUUUAUUACAUUUCAUGAGUUUGUAGUUCACUGUCAUUGAAUAGUUGGUCCUUUCUUUUUCAGGUCAAGUUGUCUUUAUGUGUAUUUAUGUGUUUGACAUGCAAAAGAAUCCAAGGGCUGUCUUGAAAUGAGGGUAGCAGAUUGGAAAAAGGUGGGCCAUACUUUUUUGCUUCAUGCUUUGUUUGCUAAUGAACUUGGAGAUCUAGGAAUGUCUGAUGGUUUGAACUAUGAGAACCAAAUUGCUGUUAGAUUCUUGAUUUUGAUGUUCGAAAGUUUGCUAUAUCAGUUGCUGGCAGAUUGUUUGAAAAGAAUCCAGCAUAUGUUCUGCCUGCACUUCGUCGCCAUCUCAUACAAUUGUUGAUGCAUCUUGAGCAAAGUGCAGAUAGCAAAUGCAGAGAAGAAAGUGCUAAACUCUUGGGUUGCCUAAUUCGCAGCCUAAUGUUGUAUUAGAUGUAAUCGAAAAUCAAAAGUAGCCUUCAUAUACGGAGAUGGGUAGCUACGAUGCAAUGAUUAUGCAGAAUCUUGCUUCCAUGCAGCAGUUAGAACGUGAGCUUGAGGCCAUCUCUGCCAUUGAUUACCGGGGAAUUAUGUUAUUCCUAGUGAAGAAGUUCUUGUUGGUCUGUAUUGAUUUAAUUUAAUCGCUUCAUUGAGUUUGAGUUUAAAUGUUGUUGGUGGGUAUCUUCCUUUGGCAGGAAAGUUCGGAGGAUCUAGCAGGUAAAGAUGCCCAAGAGAAAUUUGAUGCUGCUAUAGAAACCCUUUUACAAGAGCUUCCAGAUGAAAGAAAUGUCAAUAAAAGACCGGAUGAUUCAAAACAGAUACAGGAAAAGUCAAAGAAAAAGAAAAAGA